rnacentral:lncRNA from 1 species
CAUUCAGUCCUUUUUAUUGCUUUUGAUUCAACACUCAAAUUUUGAUUUUUGAUCAAACCGUUCCCAAUAUCGACUAUCGGAUUUCAGGACUGACGACAUGGGAAAUUUCAAAGCAACUCGUUUACUAAAAGACUUGGAAGAAUUCUUGUGUCUCCCUAUCAUCAAAUCAUCCUGAGCAAGCCAUGUCCUAUUACUCAAAUCUGGUAAUGUCAACCUCACAUUUGCCUCUAUUUUUAUCACCAACUUGUCUACUUGCCUUUUCGUGACCUUAAUUAGAUCAACAAUAGUGGUUCUUGUUCCUUCGGUCGUGAAAAUGCUUUUAUUUCUGAGAGAUCCUGGACUCGCCAUUGCAAACCAGCAAACCGACCACCUUUAACUAGCUUUUAUUCCAAAACAACAAGCAUGUUAGAAUAAAUACUCUCUUUUCUUAUCUUUCUUUUUUUCAUUUUAGAUGAAUCGAUCGAACCUGAUGUGGGUUGCCUACAUAUCAUGUGGGAACAUAAAUUAGAUCUUUGCGUAGUUCGGGAAGAUCAGGAAUAAAGUAAAUAAACUAACUCUUUUUUUUGAAUUUUGAAUUUUUUUUUAAUUUUCAAAAGAAAGACUUAUAAAGAAGAAAGAAAAUAUUUUUGGAAUUUGAUUUGUUUGUUUUUUUUGUUGAUAAUUUUUGAAAAGAAAGACUUAUAGAGAAGAAAGAAAAUAUAUUUGAAUUUCGAUUUAUUUUUUUUUUCGGAAUUUCGAAAGAAAAACUUCUGAAGAAGAAAGAAAAUAUUUUUGAAUUUUUGAUUUUUUAUUUUGAAUUUAUGAAAGAAAGACUUUUAAAAAAAGAAAAUAUUUUUGAAUAAUUUUCUUUUCAAUUUUCGAAACAUAAACUUCUGAAAAAGAAUGGAAAUAUUUUUGGAUUUUGAGAAGAAAUUAAAAAAAAUUAUUUUUGGAUAUUUUUUAAAAAUUGGUGUCUCAAAUAAAGACUUUUCUAAAUAAAGAACUAAAGGAAAAUAUUUUUGAAUUUUUUGUUUUUUAAAAUUGUGAGCCGGAACCGAUGAGCUUUGCUUACGUAUCUUACAUCCGGUGAGAAUCAGACCCGCGUAGUUCGGUCAGUUUUUCAAGACCGGGGAAAAAUGUCAUUUUUGAAAAUUUGGACUCAUUUGUGACAACCUUCUAAAAAUUCGGCAGAGUUUCAGGAUCUUAUUUUCCUCUUUUUUUUCAAAUACCGGGAAAUUUAGGAACCGGGUCAAUUUUUUCUCUCAUGUGUUUCUUGAUUUUCUUUCCCUAUUCUAGAAUCAGUCAACAUGUAAAGCAGAACAAACAAAUGCAACAAGUAGCACGUAAGAAGUAUCAGGAUGGUCUUUUUAUAUUGGGGUACACCUGUCCUAGACGGAUACAACCCCCGUGUUGCGUCCCCAAAGUCAAAUGCACGUUAUGCAAACAAGCGUACCUAAUAGGGAUCUCACAUGAGGCUUUGUUCUUCUAAGUUUAAACCUUACUGUAUAGAGUUCUAGACAAGGCUUACCCGAGCGGACAACUCGAGCCGGGGGAAGGGGGUCAGCGUAUCGAGAAUACAGAAGCUUCACCGGCUUUGCAACUUGUCCGAUCCUCAUUCUAAAAUUAGGGGUAUGACUCUAACAUAAAAGAAGCCACGCGAAGCGCACGCUUCCCAGAAGAUUUAGAAGACUUAGAGAGAAGAAGGGUGUCGUAACAGUUUUAUAUACAGUUCACGACAAUAUCAAAGCGGUAAAGAGCGGCAUUUGCACAUUAGGCUCAAACACGUAAUAUCAGACAAUCACAAGAAAGCCAAGCAUAACAGUUAUUCUAAGCUCGAAUUCUGAACCAUGAACCAGAGAUUCUGGGUUCGAUCUCCAGUAGAGUCGUCAGAGCUGUCACACCUCCUUUGUCCGAAGAAUAGGGAGUUUUUUCAAUUAAAGUGACAUUGUUCAUAUGAGAUUAUUUAUUUAAUUAGAGUCGCCACUUGAAAUAUUUAUUAUGGUGUCCCAAAUCACCGGUUUAUUUUAAAAUCUCAAAUCAAGGAAAUUGACUCUAUUUAUGGUAUGCGAACACGGAAGAUCGGGUAAAGAAUUCUGUUAACUCGGGAGAAGAUGUGAGGCACUCCCGGAUUCCGUGGUUAUAACACGGUCACUUAACAAUUAAUACUUGGCUUAAUUAUCUGAAUUAUUACAUGUUUAUUAACUUUUUAUGUGUUAUCGCUUCUAUACCACUUUUGAUUAUUUAUUUAACUGCUUUUAGUAUUUAUGGAGUUAUUUUUGAACAAGUUACGAUAUCGUACACUUGUCAUUUUGGUACACAUUACAAACCGUGCCACGUAAAAUGCACCUGCUAUUUACAACAUGUUUAUUAUUAUUAUUUGAAGCUAUGGUCAAGUCGCGUGAAAUGCGCACUCGAAUUGGGGUUUACGUAUCGUGACUAUGCCACGUGAACCGCACCCAUAGUCACGACGAUUUAUUAUUUAAUCGCGCCGGAAGCAACUACGAUGUUCAUGAAUUAUUGUCCUAAGCUACUUUGAGAUUUGUUGUGAGGUCAUUGAUUAUGGAAUACAAUAUUGGAAGAGCAUGAUUUACAAAUUGUUUACACCAACUUCUUGAUGAACUUCUUGCUAAAAGGAAGACACAACUACUUCUGGAAAGCUUGGCAUUUUGUCUAUAAAAGAAAAUGGGCCAGCUGGAUGUACUUACUAAGAUUGGGUUACCUACAGCUCUUAUUAAUUGGGCCUGAUAUGGUUCAGCUUAAUAGAGUCCAAAAAUAAAAAUGAAAAUUUUCAAAUCCACUUUGUUUUUUUUUUAAAAUUUCAAAACCCAUCUGCCAAAUCUUCAUCCUCUAAGUCUAACUAAACCCAACUCAACAGAUUAUGUACCAAACUUAAACCAAUAUUUUUAACAUGUAAAUUAAUAAGUUUUCUAAUUAAACAAGAAACCAAUAAGAAAAACUCAACAACUAAUUUAAUGAAAACCAAGCAAACAGUAAGAUAAUCCAUCAUUGGUUAUUAACUUUAAUGGCCCAAUUUUAUUAUCUAACAAUCUUCCAAAGGGCAUGUUAAUGCUAAAUUAAUUAAUUUUCAGAUUUUUCAGUCAAUGCAAAUUACUAAAGUAAGCAAACAGCCCAAUAUCUGUCAUUAAAGCCAAUAAAUAAUUAACAUUAACAGUUGAAGAGAAAUUCCAUGAGCAACAUGUAAAUCCAUCCAAACAUGCAUUUGAAAGCUUAAACAAGUAGAAGCUAUUCAUUAACUAGAGAAACAAUCAAACAACAAAGCAUAUAGCAUUCAGUGGAUUAAAUAUUCAUUAUGUAAUUAAAAUGCACCUUUGAGAAUUUCCUUUCCAAAUUUGAUUCAAAACCUUCAGCAAUGUACAAAAUGAGGAGGAAACUUAAACCUGACACACGGCCAGAACCGGAAACGUGAACAAGACCUUGACCGGAAAACUUCUAACUCGAACGGACUUUUAGAAAACUUCACCCGAUCUAUUCCAUUUUUGGUUAAGAUGUGCUGGGUUUCGUGGAGGAAAAAUUGUUGGUUUCAAGGCGAUUUCAUGGCUGAUUUUGGUGUACAACUCGACUGAAAAUUGCAACUGCUACAUGACUUCAUUUUGGGGCUGGUUGGGGUGUUUUUGAGCCAGAAUUUGGGGUGAAGUUAGGGAUUGCUUUAACCUAGUUUCAAGCUAAAAUUUGUGGGAGUUCACUGAUUUGUUUUGUGAAGAAGCAGUGGAUUUUUGUUGCUGCUAUGAGGAAGAAGAAGCACUCAUUUUUUUCUUUUUUCGUUCCCCUCCCCCCUCCCCCUCCCGGUUGUGCAAGGAAUGUCCCUUAAUUGUGUGAUGAAUAUGUGAGCAGGUGAGUGGAAAUUUCUUGGGAGGAAUCUUUCUCUCUUUCCAAUGCACUUAAAAG